rnacentral:misc_RNA from 1 species
UCCGAGUUGACACCGGCAGUCUCCCAUGAGUCCCCGCCAUUACGCGCUGGCAACAUGGAACGAGGGUUGCGCUCGUUGCGGGACUUAACCCAACAUCUCACGACACGAGCUGACGACAGCCAUGCACCACCUGUCACCCGCCCCGAAGGACCCCGCAUCUCUGCGAGUUUUCGAGUGAUGUCAAACCCAGGUAAGGUUCUUCGCGUUGCAUCGAAUUAAGCCACAUACUCCACCGCUUGUGCAGGCCCCCGUCAAUUUCUUUGAGUUUUAGCCUUGCGGCCGUACUCCCCAGGCGGGGUGCUUAAUGCGUUAGCUGCGGCACGGAAGGGGUUGAAGACCCCCCCACACCUAGCACCCAACGUUUACGGCUGGGACUAC